UCCCGCCGGCUGGUUCCCCUGCGCGGCUCAGGGGCCGGGUCGCCCCGUGCGGCUGCGCCCUGGGCCCCGCUCUCCGGCCCCACCAGUUCCUUGGGGUGGGGGGCGUCGGCGGAGGCGGGGCUCUGACCUUGGCCGCAGGGCCGCGGAGGACAGCGUGGGCUGACUUCCCAGGAGGGACGCCUCAGCAGCACUGAGCAGACCCCUGGCCCUGGCCCUGGACGCAGUCAGGAACAGGGUGCCUCCCCGCCUUCCUCGUCCCUUGGGGCAGGAGCGUGAACCGGGAGAGAAGACCCCUGCCCGUGGAGAAGGUCCGACGAAGCACAGGACGGUCCCUGUCACCCCGCUGACACCGUAGCUGGCUCCACUUCCCAGCGCAGCCAGGGCCUGGUCCGGGCGCCACUCGGCUAACGCCUGCUGCCGAUUGGUGUAGCUUUGUGACAUCACUUGAGACAGAGCAGGAGCAUGGGAGGGGCAGAGAGAGAGGAAG